UAGUUCACAGUACCUGGAAGAUUCCUUGUGCCAGUCUGUUCACUGAGUUGGAUUGUGCCUGGGCCCAUACCCUGUUGGCAGAGGUGGUCUUUAUGAUGAAUCCUUUCCCAAGUUGCUGUGCUGAGUGUUCCCUGCGUGAUUAUCAUAAAGACCACCUCUGCCAACAGAGAUGACGGCAUGAAAAGACUGGCAGACUGAACAGACUGGCACAAGGAAUCUUCCAGAGGUACUGUGAACUAUAAAGCACAAAUGGAUGAAAAUGGCUGCACUCAUAAUUAUUAUUAAGGUGACCCAUGCCUCCAUUCUGUGCAGAUGGAUAGCUAAUGGUCAACUCAAGGGGCACUCCUCCUUCAGUGCUUUCCAUACUGGGGGCACCUGCUAUGUGGUUAGCUUGCUUUUAUGGUUAAUGAAACCAAUUACUUUAGCAGAUGCAGAAAAAGAGACCAUAGCUGUAUCAAACUGCUAAGUGCAACCAGAUCAUUCUACCACGAACAUUAAUACUGGAAAAUGAAGAUGUCACGUUUAAGGAUGUGCUCAAUUCAGUUCAGCAGGAUGUUAGUGUAGUUUAGCAGCAGUGCUGAGCUCUAACAUCCCUCUUAAUCAACAAUGGAAAGAACUGUUCAAGAAAAAAAACCUAUUGUUAAUUAAGCAUUUAUACUAUAUAUUUAUAUAUACUAUAUUUUUUACCACUAAAAAAUAACAAACAAAAGACCAAUCAGAUUCCAUUUCUUGCUAAGGUGGUUUAUACAUUCUAACAAAUUCUACAGCACUGGAAUCAGUAUGUUGCCAAGAUACAGAUUCCCCAAGCAAAUGAUUCUUAUCUUAAGCUUGAUACAAUAGUGUAGCACUUACUGAAGUAAAUGUAAUCAAUCAGAGCCACUUUUAUUAAUUAUCCUUUUAGCUAGAAUUCUAUGUAAAGGUAUCACUAUUACUAUUCAUGAUCAUGCUGAGCAGGAUCUGGAUUUGCAUAUUGAAAUGAUACAG